rnacentral:rRNA from 1 species
UACGUAGGGGGCAAGCGUUGUUCGGAAUUACUGGGCGUAAAGCGCGUGUAGGCGGCUAAGCAAGUCGGGCGUGAAAUCCCAUGGCUCAACCAUGGAAGUGCACCCGAAACUGCAUAGCUAGAGUCCUGGAGAGGAAGGUGGAAUGCUUGGUGUAGAGGUGAAAUUCGUAGAUAUCAAGCGGAACACCGGUGGCGAAGGCGGCCUUCUGGACAGUGACUGACGCUGAGACGCGAAAGCGUGGGGAGCAAACAGG